UUACUCUUAAAAACACUUUGUGCCGUAAUAAGAAAAAACAGUUGGGGUAUAAAUCCAGUUAUCCAAAAAUCUGUUUUGAAAUUAUUACUUCCUUCUGCAUCUUAAUGAUUUGAUGAUCUUAUUGAAAACUGUAAGUAAAUUUAAGAGAAAUAGCUGAAGUUAUCAUUUUAGCUCAAUUUGUCUUUUAAAAAAACAAAACCCGAUUUGUAUCAACAGAGCUUCAGUGCAAGGUGGCGGCUUGGUGAAAGCCUGUCUGAACUGUUAUCAGCGAUAUCUGUCCUUGUUCCUAAAAUCUUAAUAUUUUAUGCUUCUGGACGAUUCUGGCAUGGGGAACAAAAUGUACUUUUUGUUGUUUUACUUUUAUAUGGUCUUAAACAGCUGGAGAGAUGGAUUGACUUACAUUAAUACAAUCAAAUUACUGUAUUUAGCAUUAGACUUGGACGCAAAUAUCAGUCUGUUAUCUGAACUCUGUAUUUUGAUUGAAUUGUCUAUUCAGGUUAUAGUUUUAAGUAUGAGGGGUUUUGAUACUAAGAAUCAUAUCCUGUAAGGAGUACUCUCUCCCUGAAUUGACUUGUGGGAGUUUGUAUAUGCUGACCAUGUUUACGUUUGGAAAGUUUUAUGAAGAAACAAAAAAAGUGCAUACAUAAAGUGUAGCAAACAGGCUUACCAUUAGGAAUGUAGUACUACAUUCCUAGUCAUGGUAAGAAAAGCAUGACGUUACGAUUUUUAAAACUAUCUUUAAAAAGAGAUGUAGUUUGCCUUAGAUAUUGGGAAUGGUAAUUCCCUGUGGAAGUUUCCUCGUUAGUGGAAAUUAUCUAAAAGAAUAGAGUUGUGUAACCUUGCUUGCAGGUAUGACUGGUACCCUUGACGCUUGAAAUCACUGUUCACAAUGUGGUAAUGCUUUAUGUGGGUGGUGAUGGGGAGACUAUUCUCUCUUGAAGUAUGUACUUAGCCUAGAUUUUAGAUUGGACUAAUACCAGAAAUCAAGACAUUAUGUUGGAUUUCAAACAGAUACAUCAAAUGUUUCAGUUUUUAGGAUUGAGAUGUCUGCAGCUUGCAGCAACAAUAGUGAACCUCAGCUGUCUGAAAUAGAAUAAACAAAUGAAUUGCAA